AUUGAACGCUGGCGGCAUGCCUUACACAUGCAAGUCGAACGGUAACAGGUCUUCGGAUGCUGACGAGUGGCGAACGGGUGAGUAAUACAUCGGAACGUGCCCGAGAGUGGGGGAUAACGAAGCGAAAGCUUUGCUAAUACCGCAUACGAUCUCAGGAUGAAAGCAGGGGACCGCAAGGCCUUGCGCUCACGGAGCGGCCGAUGGCAGAUUAGGUAGUUGGUGGGAUAAAAGCUUACCAAGCCGACGAUCUGUAGCUGGUCUGAGAGGACGACCAGCCACACUGGGACUGAGACACGGCCCAGACUCCUACGGGAGGCAGCAGUGGGGAAUUUUGGACAAUGGGCGCAAGCCUGAUCCAGCCAUGCCGCGUGCAGGAUGAAGGCCUUCGGGUUGUAAACUGCUUUGUACGGAACGAAAGACUCUGGUUAAUACCUGGGGUCCAUGACGGUACCGUAAGAAUAAGCACCGGCUAACUACGUGCCAGC
rnacentral:rRNA from 1 species